GAAGUCAGGUGCUAGUCAUGAGACUUAGCUGCAGUCCCGGGCGCCAUCUUGGGGCUGCCGCCACAUCCGCUCCCCACAAUUCUUAGAUGUGAUGCUGGUCUGUGGGGAUGCAAGCUGAGCUCUGUCACCUCAUUGCUCUGAAGCUGCGAGAAAUGGCUCUACAUCUCAAUGGGAUGAUGACGAACACAUGACUAUUUCAACUAAUAAAAGCUUGUAAAUCAAACAUUCAUAUCUGGAAAGAUAUAAAGAAUAUGUGUUUUAAAAUAAAUUUACAACUAUUACCAAUACUUAAAUUUAAAAUUGUUUUCUAUUAUUUUAAUUUUGUAUCCGGUCUGUCAUCAAACUUUUCGCACUUCUUGAAAUUAUAUUUUAAAUCAAAAUACUACAAAUCGUUAUGAAGCAUAAUUUUGUAUUCAUCACAUAGAAAAUCUGUUCAUUAUUGUUGCUAAUAAGUGGAUAAUUUUACCAUAAGCACUGCUUUUUCAUCAUCUACUGUCUUUAUGUAAUACAUAACUUACUGUUCUUUCAUACACAUGUUCAUUUAACUAUAUUUCUAUGUCAAUUGUUUUGACUUCCAACCUCUAUCAUGUUAACUACCAUAUAUGCCAUAAAUAUUUUUCUCUUUGCUUAAUUGUCAGUUUUUACUAUUAUUUCCUCAGUCACUUAAACCUAGUAGUUACCAUUUCUUUACUCAUUGUAUGUCCUUACUUUACUAAGUUCUCUAAAUGAUAAUUGUUGAUUCCUGAUUUACUGAAGAGUUCAAAGUUUAAUUAACUUCUAUGCAUAGUCAUGAGUUUGACAAAUCAUAGCCUUCCCCUAACAUAAUUAUAGUAUCAUCAUACUCUUCAGAAUUAUCAUGAUUUUAGGAUCAUUGCAAAUAGGUGAUUAGCAAUGUGAGUAUUAGCUAAAUAAAGAAACCUCCGAAUAGUAUUCAGAGAACGAUGAAAAUACAAACACAUGAGUAUCUGUUCAUGAAAAUAAGAAGGUAAAGGUAAUUAUUAUUUUGGGUUUUUAUUCUUUGAGAUUCAAGUGAAUAUUACUUGUACAUUUUAACUGUUUAUAAAUAUCUUCCAGUCAUUUUAAAAUGAGAAUAUCUAAGUAUUCCUAACAGUGCACAAGGAUAGCCACAACAUAAAGAAAAAAAAUUUCUAUCAGUGCGUUUCCAAGCAAUCACUUCACAGUACAACAUGCAAAAGUAAAGACAAUUGUGUAGUGUUGUGCUAACAAACAACUGAAUGUGUCAUUUAGAUUGUCUUUGAUUAAAAAAAACAUAGUGAAAAAUAAAGUAUUAUAUUCUAUCUGUGAAAGGCAAUUUAGAGUGAAAUGCUAUGUUCAAAUAUCACACUUUUAACUGCCCCAUGCUGAAUAGCAUGCUUCUCUGGAAGUUGCUAAAGAUGUAUUUCUAAACUCGAGUUGAACAUUAUCCAAAACAAAGUUCCCUGUCUCCGCCUCGAUGGGAUUCCAGAGAUUUCUGUAAAAAGAGGAAAUAGUGAUUAUGGAACAUACUCAUAUAUACACAUUUACUACCACUUUUGUCUUAAGCUUCUUGAUUGAUUUUUUUUAAUAGGACCAUUUUUGUUUGGGGGAAUAUAUUUCCAGAUGGAAAGCUAUACCAUCACCUGAAAGUUAUUUUUCUUGUGAAGUUAUUUUCUGUGUAGACUAAAGUAACCACCUAUUCACAUAUUCAUAAACACGAUGCUGAUAACAUUUUUAUUUUAGUAAUAUUAAAUAUUUAUAAAGAUUUAAAACCACUUGUACUAUUUAUCCUAUCUGCUUUUCCACACAUAAGAUGGUAACAAAAUAUUAACUUGCAUAAAAUGCUCAAGUGGGAUUUUGAAAGGCAUCACAUAAAUCUACAUUUUCAUAAAUAACUUUACACAUAUUUUAGGAUAUUAUACAGAUUAUUUUUUCCUUCCAUGACAGAAGUAAAGUCCUCAUGGAGGAAAGAACCUCAACUAAGAAAAAUGACUUCAUCGUAUUGGUCUCUAACAUUUCUUUAUUAAUGAUUGAAGCUAGAUGGCACAGCAUUCUAUGAGCAAUUGAAGUCUUUGGUAGGGAAAUUGAACAAGCCAUGGAAGGCAAGGCAAUAAGUACUACACUCCAUGGUCUCUGUUUCAAUUCCCAUUCAGGUUCUGCUCUAACUUCCCUUCAUGAUGAGCUAUAAGGUACAUGAUGAGAUAAACUCCUUCUUCCCCAAGUUGUUUUGAUAAUGGAGUUUAUUGUAGUAAUAGAAUCAAUUCAGAAGAGAAAUUAGUACCAGAAAGUGGGCUGUUCCUAUGAUACACAUGACUACCUCAUUCCUGGGAAGAUGGAGGACACGUUUAGAAAUUUAGAUUGCAUUAAAAUAUUCAGAACUUAAUGAUCUAUAAGAACUUGGAAGAUUAAAAUAUUGAGAAAAAUACAGUUAGUAUAGGCCUGGCUUGUAAAAUUUCAGAAGGAAGUGAACACUCAGUACCAUUAUUAUGAUAUAUUUGAAUUAAGACUCUUGGGAUUCUGGUCAUUUAGUACUGAAAAAUCAACUGUAAUUUCCAAGAGAUCAGUAUUGCAAAUCCCUUGUUUUUCUGGAUAGGUGAUGCUAUUUAAUUGUAGAUGAAAAAUCAGCCGUGAUUAAGAAGAGAUAACUAGUGCUAAAUCAAAAUAUUUUGACAAAUAUUGGCUCGAGGUCAGCAUACAGAAACUGUGGUUUUGAGGAGGCUAAGGUUCUUCUCAAGCUAACAGUAAUACUCAGUUAUGUGGAAGAUUGUCUCACUUGGUAUUAGUUUAAAGUGAGGAAGGUUCAAAGAAAGUAGCCAUGUCUUGAAAUUGAUUGAGGUCAGAAAUGGGCAUUGGUGAACAUGCAGUCUCAGUUUCCAUAGAGACCACAUAGUACAUGCCUACCAAGAAGAGCAGCCGAUGUGGAGCCAGCUCCAGCCUUUAAGACAAGCAAUGAUAGCUGAGGAUGACAGAGCUGCUGAGGUGGGGUCCAGAGCAUCAGAGGGUGAGUUGUUGGCUUUAUUUUGAUCUGAUUGUAAAUGUGUCCUGGUUCUUAGCUCAUGGCAUAAGACAUAUGUAUCUUUUUUUUUUUUUGAGCUAUAUAGAAACACACAGUUGAGAGACUUGGGACUUGAAAAAAGACAUUGAGAAGAGUACUUCAAUUCAGAAAAUUGGGUCAAGUAGACUGUCCUGGAAGAAAAUUUGUGGGGCAUUUUCUUGAUUAAUGAUUGAUGAGAGAGGGUCUAGCUACUGUGGUUAAUGCUACCCUGAGCUGGUGGUUGGUCUAGGAAGAUGUGCUAAAGAUUGACAAACAUUUGAUUGGACAAAAAGUCAAGCUUUCUCAUAUUGUUUCUGCCUCUGGUCCUACUUGAAUUCUUGCCAUGAUUUCCCUCAGUGAUUAGCUGUGAUUAGCAUGUAUAAGACAAGUGCACCCUUUUCUCCCUAAGAUGCUAUUGUUCAUGAUGUUUAUCACAGCAGUAUAUACCAAACUAGGGCAGAGAUAUUAAUUAAAAUUAUGAGUUUCAGCAUAAAAUUUCCAUAAAAAUUUCCAUAAAUAUACAUAACACACUUUGAUUAUAUUCAUUCAAAAAUUUAAAAUGUUUCACGUCUCAAGAGAACUAAAGGCAAAGAAUGAAACAGAAACAUAACCUAGGCCAAUAGGUUCUUACUCUACUCUUCUGUAAUGAGUUUCCCACAUUGCAAAAUGUAGAGUGGAUGGAUGUCAAGUGGGAAGAAAACAAGACUAUGAUUAGUGAUUAAACCAGGACAGAAUUUCACAGAACUAAAAUAUCAAAGCAAGGGUUAGAUUGUUGAAUUUGGCAGAACCAACAAAGAUAUCAAUGAAAAUAAGAAUCAUUUUGAACAUUAUAAGAUGGAAUAAAAAUUUACAGAAAUUACAUAAUAAGAAAAAUAGAUUUCAUAAAUUGAUUUAAAUUUAAAAGUCAGCAACAAAAGAUCAAAAACUCAGGUGACAGCAGAUGCUGGGGAGGAUGCGGAGAAAGAGGAACACUCCUCCAUUGUUGGUGGGAUUGCAGACUGGUACAACCAUUCUGGAAAUCAGUCUGGAGGUUCCUCAGAAAAUUGGACAUUGAACUGCCUGAGGAUCCAGCUAUACCUCUCUUGGGCAUAUACCCAAAAGAUGCCUCAACAUAUAAAAGAGACACGUGCUCCACUAUGUUCAUCGCAGCCUUAUUUAUAAUAGCCAGAAGCUGGAAAGUACCCAGAUGCCCUUCAACAGAGGAAUGGAUACAGAAAAUGUGGUACAUCUACACAAUGGAAUAUUACUCAGCUAUCAAAAACAAUGAGUUUAUGAAAUUCGUAGGCAAAUGGUUGGAACUGGAAAAUAUCAUCCUGAGUGAGCUAACCCAAUCACAGAAAGACAUACAUGGUAUGCACUCAUUGAUAAGUGGCUAUUAGCCCAAAUGCUUGAAUUACCCUAGAUCCCUAGAACAAAUGAAACUCAAGACGGAUGAUCAAAAUGUGAAUGUUUCAUGCCUUCUUUAAAAGGGGAACAAGAAUACCCUUGGCAGGGAAGAGAGAGGCAAAGAUUAAAACAGAGACUGAAGGAACACCCAUUCAGAGCCUGCCCCACAUGUGGCCCAUACAUAUACAGCCACCCAGUUAGACAAGAUGGAUGAAGCAAAGAAGUGCAGACUGACAGGAGCCGGAUGUAGAUCGCUCCUGAGAGACACAGCCAGAAUACAGCAAAUACAGAGGCAAAUGCCAGCAGCAAACCACUGAACUGAGAAUAGGACCCCCGUUGAAGGAAUCAGAGAAAGAAUUGGAGGAGCUUGAAGGGGCUCGAGACCCCAUAUGUACAACAAUGCCAAGCAACCAGAGCUUCCAGGGACUAAGCCACUACCUAAAGACUAUACAUGAACUGACCCUGGACUCUGACCUCAUAGGAAGAAGAAACACAACAAGACAAACAAAACAAAACAAAAAACUGGGAAUGGUAAUGAUGGUGUCUUUGAAUUGCAAGGGUCACAAACUUAUAAUCAGAAUUCAAGGCCACGACCUUAGGUACUGGGGUAUGUGUUUAGGGAGGGGAGGAUUGAUGGUUCAGGUGUGUUUCCGUGUCCUUCAUUUCCUCCUUCUUAGGAUGUUCAGAUGACAUUGCACACUGGAUUCUAAGCAUAAUGUGGUGUGGUUCUGCAGAAUCCUUGUCAGGAUUGUGGGAGGGGGGGCCUUCUUUGAAGAUCUUAGUGUUACAGCUCUUUUACAUAAACGCCUUCUUCAACAGUUUUCGAUGAAACAGCUCUCUGAGACAAUCUUUUGUGGAUACCUUUAUUCUGGGUGGGCUUGUAUGAAUACACUUAUUGGGGUAAACAAGGGUUAUAUAUGGACCUUGGAGAGUGGCAAGGAGUUUUCAGCAUAAAUGAAAACCAUUGGCUACAGUUUGAAAUUUCUGUAAAUACAUUAUUUGCAUAGCGAGGCAUUCCAGGAGUCUCUGGUACUUGCUGGGCUAGUUCUUAUUGGAUGUGGGUGGAGAGGAAAUAGAAAAGAUGAAGUUGAACUUGUAGGUUUGUGAAGGACUUCUUGACCUAACCCAGGUAGGAGGUAUAGGGGUACUGGCUCCCUAAUCAGGGUCCAGAGGAGGGAAUUCCCUUCUGGUAAAGGCAGUCCUCAAUUUUGCACAGAGCUCAGAGAAGCUACCUGGACAUGUUAGACUUUGACCUUAAUCAGCUGUGUUUUUCCUAAGGCUCUAUUAUAACCCAUAUGCUACUUUUUGAAAUAGAUGAUAUUAUGAUCUCAACAACUAGAAAAUAAUGAAAAAAACUAUAGGUUUAUAAGUACUCAUUGAUUUUUAUUUAAAAUAUACUAUUUAAAAGGAGACCAUUACGGAAAAUCACACCCAAUUAACACGCAAAGCUAUGGAGUUCAGUCCCACUGAUGCAUCUAUCAAAAAUUUCCUGCACUCAAUGAAAUAUCAAGUAAUAGAGGUUAUUAAAACCUAAACCAUUGGUUCUCCACCUGUGAAUCAUGAUCCCUUUGGGGGUUGAAGACCCUUUCACAGGGGUUGCUUAUAAUCAACUUGUAUAUCAUGUAUUUACAUUGUGAUUCCUAAUAGUAGCAAAAUAACAGUUAUGAUUAUCAAUGAAAUAAUUGUAUGGAUGGGUGUCACUACAACAUAUGGAAGUAUAUUAAGGAGUUGCAUCAUUAGGAAAAUUGAGAAUCACAGAAAUAGAGGAACAGAGAUUUUGCUGUAAGAUGUCUCCUAGAGAUUUUUGAUGUGGUCCUUCCAACAUGGGUGCCUAAGCAUGAGCUGGACAUAGAGAAAAUGAAUAGGCAUAAGACAAGAGCUGGAAUCAUGGUUGGAAACAAAACACUGUUAUUCCUUGGACAAUAAAUAUUGUGGUCUUUUGUUCACAUUGAUUCUGUCCUUUUCUCUCUGCUAUUCAGAAGUUAGGCCAACAACUUAGAAAAGUGUUUGGUAACUUCAGUGAAGAAGAUGUAGAAAUUGCCUUCCAUUUGCCACUUGCUAGGAGACGAAUACUAUAUCUUCUAAGGAUGUUUACUAUAUAUGCCUCCUCAUAAUUCAUGUCAGCAACAAUAACUGACAAAACCUUAUCAAAAGAUUUGCAUAGGAUAUAUCAUAGGAGACACCAAAAUAAAUUUAAAGUGACUAAAAACUACAAAGAGUAUAGUCUAUACAAAAUAUAAUAGUGAUUUUUUUCCUUUCUUCCUUUUUCUUUCUUUUGUCUUCACAGCCUUUCUGGUCUUCCAAGACUCAAAAGAUGCCCAGGAAUAUUUGAUUUAUUUUGCAGUGGAAUUUCAGU